rnacentral:rRNA from 1 species
AAAUUGAAGAGUUUGAUCAUGGCUCAGAUUGAACGCUGGCGGCAGGCCUAACACAUGCAAGUCGAGCGGAAACGAGUUAUCUGAACCUUCGGGGAACGAUAACGGCGUCGAGCGGCGGACGGGUGAGUAAUGCCUAGGAAAUUGCCCUGAUGUGGGGGGAUAACCAUUGGAAACGAUGGCUAAUACCGCAUGAUGCCUACGGGCCAAAGA